CCUACGGGAGGCAGCAGUGAGGAAUAUUGGUCAAUGGGCGCGAGCCUGAACCAGCCAAGUAGCGUGAAGGAUGACUGCCCUACGGGUUGUAAACUUCUUUUAUAAAGGAAUUAAGUGAGGCACGUGUGGCUUUUUGUAUGUCCUUUAUGAAGACGGAUCGGCUAACUCCGUGCCAGCAGCCGCGGUAAUACGGAGGAUCCGAGCGUUAUCCGGAUUUAUUGGGUGUAAAGGGUGCGUAGAUGGGUUGUUAAGUCAGUUGUGAAAGUUUGCGGCUCAACCGUAAAAUUGCAAUUGAUACUGGCAGCCUUGAGUACAGUUGAGGUAGGCGGAAUUCGUGGUGUAGCGGUGAAAUGCUUAGAUAUCACGAAGAACUCCGAUUGCGAAGGCAGCUUACUAAACUGCCACUGACAUUGAUGCUCGAAAGUGUGGGUAUCAAACAGGAUUAGAUACCCGAGUAGUC
rnacentral:rRNA from 1 species